rnacentral:lncRNA from 1 species
CUUGAGUAUGAACUCACAAGGUCAACAACUUUUCUACCAUAGCCUUUUAAGGCACAUCAAUCUUCAUCAUGUUGGGAAAAGAUGGUUGUGGCAUAGGGUACUUAAUGAUAGUAUCGAAAGAGGUAUUUAAUGUAAGACACCACCACCCUACACUUAUUCCUUUCAAUCACAGUAAUCAUACACAAGUGUUCAUAAUGGGAUUGUGUGAAGCGGUUUGUACACUUUAAAAACUACCUCUUUAUCCCCUAACUUAUUAUGAGCAUACCCUCAC